rnacentral:rRNA from 1 species
AGUGAACGCUGGCGGCGUGCCUAAUACAUGCAAGUCGAACGGAGUGGCGCACGGGUGAGUAAUAUAUAGCUAAUCUGCCCCUUGCUGGUGGACAACAGUUAGCAAUGACUGCUAAUACUCCAUAGGAAGGGAUGAGACUAUAUCGUAUCAGCUAGUCGGUGAGGUAACGGCCUACCGAGGGUAUGACGCGUAACUGGUCUGCGAGGAUGAUCAGUCACAUUGGAACUGAGACACGGUCCAAGCUCAGACGGGGAGCAGCAGAAGGGCAUAUUGCGCAAUGAGGGAAACCCUGACGCAGCAACGCCGCGUGGAGGAUUACACUUUUCGGAGCAUAAACUCCUGUUGUUAGGGAAGCGGUACCUGACGAAUAAGCACCGGCUAACUCCGGGCCAGCAGCCGCGGUAAUUC